rnacentral:rRNA from 1 species
AUUGAACGCUGGCGGCAGGCCUAACACAUGCAAGUCGAGCGGAUGAAGGGAGCUUGCUCCUGGAUUCAGCGGCGGACGGGUGAGUAAUGCCAAGGAAUCUGCCUGGUAGUGGGGGAUAACGUCCGGAAACGGGCGCUAAUACCGCAUACGUCCUGAGGGAGAAAGGGGGGGAUCUUCGGACCUCACGCUAUCAGAUGAGCCUAGGUCGGAUUAGCUAGUUGGUGGGGUAAAGGCCUACCAAGGCGACGAUCCGUAACUGGUCUGAGAGGAUGAUCACUCAGGCUGGAGCUGAGACACGUUCCCUACUGCUGCGGGAGGAAGCAGAGGGGAAUCUUAGACAGUGGGCGAGAGCCUGAUCCAGACAUGCAGUGUGUGUGAAGAAGGUCCUCGGAUUGUAAAGCACUUUAAGUUGGGAGAAAGGGCAGUAAGUUAACACCUUGCUGUUUUGACGUUACCAACAGAAUAAGCACCGGCUAACUUCGUG